UACGGAGGGUGCAAGCGUUGUCCGGAAUCACUGGGCGUAAAGGGCGCGUAGGCGGCCAGGUAAGUAGGGGGUGAAAUCCUGCGGCUUAACCGCAGGGCUGCCUUCUAAACUGUCAGGCUUGAGCACGGUAGAGGCAGAUGGAAUUCCCGGUGUAGCGGUGGAAUGCGUAGAUAUCAGGAGGAAUACCGAUGGCGAAGGCAGGUCUCUGGGCUAUAACUGACGCUCAUGCACGAAAGCGUGGGGAGCAAACAGG
rnacentral:rRNA from 1 species